rnacentral:lncRNA from 1 species
CUCAAUUUGGACAAAUUGGAUCACAGAGUGGUUUCUGCCCUCUAUGGGUGUAUUUUCUGUGUGUGUGGCCAGUGUUCAGCAGAUAAAUUCCGAAUCUCCACUUCCUUUCUUUGUAGAGGCAGAGAGAGCAUACUGUGUUACUGAAAUACUCCAUGGAAGAACUUGAAAGAAACAAAACUGGUCUUUAACUUGUCAGUCCCCUUUUGCUCAGAACCAAAAAUGAAGUCUCUGUGUAACCAAAUGGCUCAUAUCAAAUGUUUUUGAUCUUUUAGAACAGAAGAAUCGAUAACAGAAGAUGAUAAGAGGAGAAACUAUGGAGGAGUGUAUGUUGGUCUACCAUCUGAAGCUGUCAAUAUGGUGUCCAAUCAGACAAAGACUGUGCAGAAAACCUGUUCAUCAAGAUCUGGAUGAAAUUUUUCCUUCAUGGGAUUUUGUAAUGUGCACAGACAUUUCCAAGGAAAUUCUAAACAGUCGCCACCCCUCCCCCCAAAUUCUUAGUUGGUAGUUGAAACCACGGGUACAUACUGAAUGUUGUGGUACUAGAAGGGAAUUGGUUAAACAACAUGCUUGGAUAUGGAACUUUCUGUGAUCCACCUGCAGAAGACAAACUUAUGAAGGGUUCUUGCCCAGCCGGUCGCUGUGUCCCUGCUGUGUUCUCACCUGAACAUCCCCACAGCUCAUGAAGAUCAUGUCUUUUCACUGAUGCUUUUUUGAUAGUUUUUAUAAAUUAAAAUCCUUCAUCUAUUUAUAACUUAAAAUAAUAAGGCACUAUCAACGAGUUACCCAAAGUAAUAUAUUUGUCUGUUAUUUUUCACUAUUUCUACUUCAUGUUGAUUUUUAGCUGUAAAAUUGAUUAAAUUGAUAACUUCCUGCUAUCUCCCUUUUUUACUAUUGGUUUUCAGCUUUAUUUAAAUGUCAAAGGAGUUUCUUUAUUGGGAACAACACAUUACAUGGCAAUACUUCAACUGCUGAGGUUUGCAUGCCGUACGUACAUUUCAAUUAACUUCUUCUUUUCUUUAGUUAAAGGCUUAUGUAACUACAAGUACUUCAUAGCCAUCAAGUCUCCCAUUCUACUUGUGUGUGAUCAAAGCAUCUUAUCAUGUUAAUUCUGUACUGUUUUCAAGGACUUGUCACUGAUGGUUAGUGGGAUAUUUGGAAAGUUCUUAAUUUGAUAACGACCUUGUGUAUCCACUUAAUACUGCAAUGUAAAUCACUCAAUUGCAUUUCAACAAUUAAAACAUUUUUAUCCCUCUU